CUCCCCAUCCCCAUAGGGUUAUUGGAAUGUAUCAGUGGUUAGUGCCCAGCAGGGCACAGGCGGAUGUUGGUGUGAGAGUGCGACAUAGGCAAAGAAAGCCCCACCAGCCAGUCAGCAUGGGAUUUUGGACAGUCUGCUCCCAGCCAUAUGCUAAUAAUACCUGCCCGCCUACCUACCUACCUCACAGGGGCGUUGUGAGGGCUAGUUAGUUACUGUCUGGGCAGCGAUUUGAGCAAGUGCUGUGCCUUGGAAAUGAAGCAGUACCCUGGUUAUCCUGGGAAAGGGGACUUUUUCCCCUGCUGGUGUGAUGGGGGUUGCCUAACAAGCAUCUUCUGUUUUAAGCAGAGGAAGUGUCAAUAUACGUCACCCCGUGAGAAACAUUUGAAUAAAGUCGUUAUUGUUAAUAGUUGAGUUGUGGUGGUGCCGUCAGGCUGCAUGAAACGCAGUAAUUGUGAGAACUUAAGAUCCUCCUGGGACGUCCCUCACGGUUGGUGAGAAUGGCUCUGCCUGACUGAUAGACGCAAGCUUAGACUGAGGAUGAACGGUGCUCAAUAGUUUUGGAGGGAAAGCUCCAGGAAGCAGGGGCUGUGUUUACAGGUGUGUAUUGUACAGCGCUGUGAAUCAAAACAAGGGCUGUUAGCCAUGACCAAAUCAACUGAUAAAACCAAACCUCUGCCACCUUCUUGCUGGAUAAUUCGGCUCCUAUGGCAGAGUUGCUUAUCUGGUGAAUCCCUUUUUCUUAUGAAAAUGUAUGUUGUAUGCUGCAGAAAACAAAUAAAGGAUGAAGCAUUAGGCAGCUAUUGAAGAAAGAGCUUCAUCUGUCAGGCAGUCCACACACCAAAUCCAAAAUUUUAGGGCACUGGGCGCUGUGUCCUUGUGUUACAUACCACACUUCUGAGGCACGGAUACACAAGGUGCCUUUUGCAGGGAGAGUCGAACUGGAGAACGCUCUGGCAAUUUCAGGAACUGUGUGAAACCUUCGUGGGGCUGAAUCUAUAUUCACAGCAGUUCACAAGCACAGCCCAGUUCUGUACGGCACAGCCCACUGACAACAUUCUUGAUGUUGAAAUCCAUCCUUUGCCUCUUGGUCUCGACAGGUGCUGCCCUUAUAAAUAACUCCUCUCGAAGGAGUAAGGAACAAGCACUGGACUGGGAGUCGGGAAACUUAGGGACAGAUCCUCAGUUGGUGUAAAUUGUCUGAGAUCCAUUGACUUCAGUGGGGCUCUGCCACUUUACACCUGCUGAAGGUCUGCCCCCUAAAUUCUAAUUCUGCCACUGAUUCACUGUGUGGAGCUGGGCAAAUCACUGAAAUCCUCCAUUACUCAGUUUCUUUAUCUGUAAAAUAGGAAUAACAAUACUUACCUGAGAGCGGUAGUGUGAAGAGCAAGGCGUUAAAAUGUCUGUAAAGUGCUCUGAAGAUGCUAAGCCCUAAAUAUUAAUAACAAUGAAUAAAACAUGAUAAUUAGCCAAAGACUAAAUAUGAUCAAUCUGUUGUGCAGCAAUUCAAGUCACUGGUGCAGUGUACAAGGUGCAGUGUGUUCUUUAUCUGACAGAUAAAGGAAUCGAUCUCUUACAGGUUAAAUUCACUGUGCUAGUUCAGCGGAUGCUUGUGGGGCAAUUUCAGAUUUGCUGGCAUGCCAAAAGGGGUGUUGUUUGGUCAAACAAGGGAGUGCAAUACCCUGUGAAAUCACAGCCCUCCAUCCUGACGGACACUGGAUUACAUGAAGGCCAAAUCAGGUGGAAUAACUACUGCUCAUUUAGAACCACAAGGCAGAGGUUGACUCAGGGGCACCAGACACAUCUAUGAAGUAUGAAGAGUCUAAUUCUAAACAACAGCUCUGAAACCUGCCUUAUUGUGCUUUGGCCGGAUUCCCUGUUCGCUGUCUGGCUGUUGACUUUAACUAUGCACCCACAGAAAACAAAUGGAUGCACUUUAUCUUAAUGUCCAAGAUAGUGCGUGUGGCAGAGAGAUGGAGAGAACUGGAGAAGAAGGAGGAUGGGUGUGACAAGAUAAGAAGCAUCUCUACCACUGCUUAACAUUCCUUUCCUCCAGCAGCAGGUGGGAGUCUCAUAACCCAUUCUUAGGGCCAGAUUCUACACAGGUGUAAAUCAGUGUAACCCCCAGACUUCAACAGAGCUGCUCUGCUUUACGCCAACCUGUUAAACAACAUGGGCCUUGGGGAUUUUUUCCACCAGAAGUCCCAUUUUUAAAAUAAGUGCUAAUACAGUACUCCCAGAUUCUGCGGGUGAGGUGCGACUCAGAGUAAAUCAUACAGCUCUUCAUAAUAUAAUUGUCCCCCUUGUUUUGCGUGCUUUGAUCUUUAGGAAAAUAGUUAACAAUGGUUAUCAUUAAAUCACCACUGUCUGACCUAACUCUG